CGAAUGCUGACGUGAGUAACGACAAAACGGGUGAAAAACCCGUUCGCCGAAAGACCAAGGGUUCCAGUCCAACGUUAAUCGGGGCUGGGUGAGUCGACCCCUAAGGCGAGGCCGAAAGGCGUAGUCGAUGGGAAAAUGGUUAAUAUUCCAUUACUUCUGUGUAAUGCGAUGAGAGGACGGAGAAGGCUAAAUCAGCCUGGCGUUGGUUGUCCAGGUGAAAGGAUGUAGGCAUGUAUCUUAGGCAAAUCCGGGGUACUCUAUGCUGAGAUCUGAUAGCAAGCUGUACUUGUACAGCGAAGUGGUUGAUGCCAUGCUUCCAGGAAAAGUCUCUAAGCUUCAGUUACACAGGAAUCGUACCCGAAACCGACACAGGUGGUCAGGUCGAGUAGACCAAGGCGCUUGAGAGAACUCUGCUGAAGGAACUAGGCAAAAUGGUACCGUAACUUCGGGAGAAGGUACGCUGUUGUUGGUGAUGGAACUCGCUUCCUGAGCUGACGACAGCCGCAGAAACCAGGCCGCUGCAACUGUUUAUUAAAAACAUAGCACUCUGCAAACACGAAAGUGGACGUAUAGGGUGUGAUGCCUGCCCGGUGCUGGAAGGUUAAUUGAUGGGGUUAGCGUAAGCGAAGCUCUUGAUCGAAGCCCCAGUAAACGGCGGCCGUAACUAUAACGGUCCUAAGGUAGCGAAAUUCCUUGUCGGGUAAGUUCCGACCUGCACGAAUGGCAUAAUGAUGGCGGCGCUGUCUCCAGCAGAGGCUCAGUGAAAUCGAAAUCGCUGUGAAGAUGCAGUGUACCCGCGGCUAGACGGAAAGACCCCGUGAACCUUUACUGCAGCUUGACACUGAACUUUGACCUUACUU
rnacentral:rRNA from 1 species